rnacentral:misc_RNA from 1 species
GAUGAAGAACGUAGCGAAAUGCGAUAAGUAGUGUGAAUUGCAGAAUUCAGUGAAUCAUCGAAUCUUUGAACGCACAUUGCGCCCUUUGGUAUUCCAAAGGGCAUGCCUGUUCGAGCGUUAUUUGUACCCUCAAGCUUUGCUUGGUGUUGGGCGUCUUGUCUCUAGCUUUGCUGGAGACUCGCCUUAAAGUAAUUGGCAGCCGGCCUACUGGUUUCGGAGCGCAGCGCAAGUCGCACUCUCUAUCAGCAAAGGUCUAGCAUCCAUUAAGCCUUUUUUUCAACUUUUGACCUCGGAUCAGGUAGGGAUACCCGCUGAACUUAAGCAUAUCAAUAAGCGGAGGA